CCUGGGCUUGACAUGUACGUAGUAGUGAAGGGAAACCGGAACGAGCCUUCGGGCAGCGUAGACAGGUGCUGCAUGGCUGUCGUCAGCUCGUGUCGUGAGAUGUUGGGUUAAGUCCCGCAACGAGCGCAACCCGUGUUGCUAGUUACAAGUGUCUAGCGAGACUGCCGGUAACAAGCCGGAGGAAGGUGCGGAUGAUGUCAAGUCAGCAUGGCCUAUAUGUCCAGGGCUACACACACGCUACAAUGGCUGGUACAAAGAGAAGCGAAAGGGAGACCUGAAGCGAAUCUCAUCAAAGCCAGUCAUAGUUCGGAUUGCAGGCUGCAACUCGCCUGCAUGAAGUCGGAGUUGCUAGUAACCGCAGGUCAGCAAUACUGCGGUGAAUACGUUCCCGGGCCUUGUACACAC
rnacentral:rRNA from 1 species